ACAGGACUUGUGAUGUAGAUAGUCGUCAUUUUUGUUUCACAAACAAGGAAGGAGAAUCUCAGAGAUUCCGUAAACUCCAUAAAGCGAUGAUUCAUUACAGAAGCAGGGAACCGACCUAGACCAGUUGUGCUGUGAUUUAGAAUUCUUAGCUGGAGCUGCCCCACCCACCAUGAGAAUCUGAGACUUGGAAUCUGAACCUGGAGUUGGAAGCAGGACUUAGUGAGAUGCUCCUCCUGCACAGAGGAGCUGCUGCUUGUGGUAGAUGACAGUCAACACUGAAACCCACAGCUCAUCAACACGUAGAGAAAAGGAGACCUUGAGACCCUGAAUCCUACAUGACAUGUCUAUAUUAUAUCCCUCAAUUCGGGGCUAAAGUGUCUACAUAGAAAAGGAGGCAGAAAGAUUGUAAGAAUCAGAAGCAGCGGAUGGCUUCAAAGAAAGAAUGUUUUCCAGACAUAGCAGAGCAGAUGCGCAUAUGACCUCACAGAGACUGUGGUAGCAUGCACAAGACCUGCACAAACUCAAGCUAGACAAAAUCUUGGCACACAGGAGGGUAGGCACGAGACCCCAUUUCCUGCUGAGGAGCUAUAGGUAUUUCAUAGCUGCUAGGAGAUGGACAGUGAACUGUCUUCCGUGGGAUGGCCAUACUCUGGGCAGGCCCUACUCUCAUGAUAGUAGCCAGCCAACCCAACCUGGGCUCCAUAGGUUUUGUUUUGUAUUUAUGGCGAGACAGCACAAAAGGUUAGCGUGAAGGAUCAAACCCAGGACCUUGUUCAGGCUAAGCAAGCAUUCAACUACUGAGCUACAUCAGAAGCCCUUGUUUUUGUGACUGGCUCUCUGUAUGUAAGUCAGGCCGGCCUUGAACUUCCUCUGUACUCCAGAUUGACCUGGAAACUGUCCUCUCUCUACCUACUGAGUGCUGGGAUUGUAGCUCUGACCACCUCAGGUGAAUAGGUUUUCAUUUCUACUGAUACGUUGACAUGUUAUUAUCAAUAUGCUAACUUUAAUUUUCCAUUUCUGUAGGGGAAAAUGUCUAUAAACAUUUCAGCUCAACAAAUAGUUGAUUGUUGUGGAAAUAAAGC